rnacentral:rRNA from 1 species
AGUGAACGCUGGCGGUAGGCCUAACACAUGCAAGUCGAACGGCAGCACAGUAAGAUCUUGCUCUUACGGGUGGCGAGUGGCGGACGGGUGAGGAAUACAUCGGAAUCUACUUUUUCGUGGGGGAUAACGUAGGGAAACUUACGCUAAUACCGCAUACGACCUACGGGUGAAAGCAGGGGAUCUUCGGACCUUGCGCGAUUGAAUGAGCCGAUGUCGGAUUAGCUAGUUGGCGGGGUAAAGGCCCACCAAGGCGACGAUCCGUAGCUGGUCUGAGAGGAUGAUCAGCCACACUGGAACUGAGACACGGUCCAGACUCCUACGGGAGGCAGCAGUGGGGAAUAUUGGACAAUGGGCGAAAGCCUGAUCCAGCAAUACCGCGUGGGUGAAGAAGGCCUUCGGGUUGUAAAGCCCUUUUGUUGGGAAAGAAAAGAAGCAGAUUAAUCCACCGCUGUUCUGACGGUACCCAAAGAAUAAGCCCCGGCUAACUUCGUG